GGAAUGUGCAAACGUUAUUCGGAAUCACUGGGCUUAAAGAGUCCGUAGGCGGCAUGUUAGGUGAGGUGUGAAAUCCCCCGGCUCAACCGAGGAAUUGCGCUUCAAACCGGCGUGCUAGAGGAAGAUAGAGGUGGGCGGAACUGAUGGUGGAGCGGUGAAAUGCGUUGAUAUCAUCAGGAACACCGGAGGCGAAAGCGGCCCACUGGGUCUUAUCUGACGCUGAGGGACGAAAGCUAGGGGAGCGAACGGGAUUAGAUACCCCGGUAGUCCUAGCCUUAAACGAUGAGCACUAGACCGAAGGAUCUCCACGAUUUUUUGGUCGUAGCGAAAGUGUUAAGUGCUCCGCCUGGGGAGUAUGGUCGCAAGGCUG
rnacentral:rRNA from 1 species